rnacentral:rRNA from 1 species
UACGGAGGGUGCAAACGUUGCUCGGAAUUAUUGGGCGUAAAGCGCACGUAGGCGGCCGACUAAGUCGGGUGUGAAAGCCCAGGGCUCAACCCUGGAAGUGCACUCGAAACUGGUCGGCUUGAAUAUGGAAGAGGGUUGCGGAAUUCCCGGUGUAGAGGUGAAAUUCGUAGAUAUCGGGAGGAACACCAGUGGCGAAGGCGGCAACCUGGGCCAAUAUUGACGCUGAGGUGCGAAAGCGUGGGGAGCAAACAGG